rnacentral:rRNA from 1 species
UCUUGGUCAUUUAGAGGAAGUAAAAGUCGUAACAAGGUUUCCGUAGGUGAACCUGCGGAAGGAUCAUUAACGAGUUUUGAAAGGGGUUGUCGCUGGCCUUUCACGAGGCAUGUGCACACCCUGCUCAUCCACUCUCAACCUCUGUGCACUUAUUGUAGGUCGGUGGAAGGCUCGCAAGAGCUGGAAGCCUGCUUAUGUUUUACUACAAACGCUUCAGUUAUAGAAUGUUUACUUGCGUAUAACGCAUUUAURUACAACUUUCAGCAACGGAUCUCUUGGCUCUCGCAUCGAUGAAGAACGCAGCGAAAUGCGAUAAGUAAUGUGAAUUGCAGAAUUCAGUGAAUCAUCGAAUCUUUGAACGCACCUUGCGCUCCCUGGUAUUCCGGGGAGCACGCCCGUUUGAGUGUCAUGGUAUUCUCAACCUUCCUCACUUUUGUGACUGGAAGGCUUGGAUGUGGAGGUCGUGCGGGCUCUCGCGAGUCGGCUCCUCUGAAAUGCAUUAGCGUGAACGUUUACGGAUCGCUAUCAGUGUGAUAAUUAUCUGAGCUGUUAGUGUUGAAGUAAUC